GCAGUGGUGGUGGUGGAGGGAAUUUUAUUCCAAAAGGCUUUGGCAAGGACAGCGGCGGACCAUAGGCCAGGAGUGGAAGAGUAUUACAAAAGGAUGGUGGGUUGGGGGGGAAUCCUAACAACCCUUUGUUUCUGAGGAAUUAUGCUCAGUUUCUGUAUUAGUCAAAGCAUGAUCUCCAAGGAGCAGAGGAAUACUUGGGUCGAGCCAUUCUGGCAGAUCCAAAAGAUGGUGAAAUCUUUUCUUAAUAUUGAAAGUUAGUGUGGGAGCUCCACCAGGACCAAGAUAUAGCCUCAAGCUACUUUAAACGGGUCGUUCAAGCUGCCCCUGAAGAUCAGUGUAUAUGCUUCCUCCAAAAAUGAAGUCCUCCUGAGAUUUGGGUUUUGCAGUAAUGUUCAAGCAGCAUAUGCUAGCUUCCUCUACAAACAGAGGAGGAGGAGGAUGAUGAUGGAGCAUGUCAUGUAGAUACCAUGCCACCAAUUCUCCAUGGAUUUGCAAGGCUUCUGCAAAUAAAUAGUUGAAUCUCUGCAGUGAGUAGUUAGCAUGCCACUGAAUCAAGACAGUCAUUCUAGUGAUAUGGAAUGUGUAUGAACAUCAUCUCAUAGUAUGCAAAUAAAUUACCACUUGCCUAGCAUCACAAUACAUUUAGCUUAAGAAAUUUUUUUA